rnacentral:lncRNA from 1 species
UAUAGGGGGGAUAUAGGGGGGUAUAGGGGGGUAUAGAGGGGAUAUAGGGGGAUAUAGGGGGGAUGGGGGUACCUGGGGUCUGGGUUUGGGGUCCAGGAGGUGGAAUAUGGGAUCCCAAUAGUGGAAUAUGGGGUCUUCAGUGAUGGAUUUUGGGGUCUUCAAUGACGGAUUUUGGGGUCUUCAAUGGUGCUUAUGGGGUCCAAGAGGUGGAUUAUGGGGUCUCGGGGCUGAUUUUGGGCUCUUCAUGGUGCAUUUUGGGGUCGAAAGGCUGGAAUUUGGGGUCUUCAAUGCUGAUUUUGGGGUCCCAAUAAUGAAAUAUGGGAUCUUCAAUGAUUAAUUAUGGGGUCUUCAAUGCUGCUUUUGGGGUCCAAAGGCUGGAAUUGGGGUCUUUGCUGCUCACAUUAUUAUGGGGCUCCUUUUGGGGUCUCAAAGAAGCUUUUAGGGUCCCACUUUAAGGUCCCAGUCCCAGUUAUAGGGUCCAAUUUCCAGGCCCUAAUACUGGUUUUGGGGUCCCAUUUAUGGGGUCCCACUUCCACUUAUGGGAUCCCAGCCCCUUAUUGUAGGCUCCCCAUUCACAACAUUGACUGUAGGGUCCCCAUUCACAACAUUGACUGUAGGGUCCCCAUUCACAACAUUGAUUGUAGGGUCCCCAUUCACAACGUUGAUAGUAGGCUCCCCAUUCACAACAUUGAUUGUAGAGUCCCCAUUCACAACAUUGAUUGUAGGCUCCCCAUUCACAACAUUGAUUGUAGGGUCCCCAUUCACAACAUUGAUAGUAGGGUCUCCAUUCACAACACUGUUUAUAGGGUCUCCAUUCACAACACUUUAUUGCCCCC